CUGCUACAGGCAGUGUUAGUAGGAAUCUAGAUAAUCCAUUGUUAGUUGUGCCUCUUAAACCCUCUGUUGCGGAGUUUCCAGCCGCCAAGAAGGAAGAGCAAAGUGAUCAAUUGAGUAAUUUGGUUGGAGCUGGUUACCAAGCUUUUGAAGAUGCUAUUUUAAAUAAGCUGACUAAGGCUGCCGAAAAACAACAAAAAUGAUGACAAAAAGGUCUUAGGAGCAGAUUGCAAAUGCAUCAGUGGCAUUUUAUCCACAGAUGUUUUGCCAACAUGUCCUAAAUUUACUAGUUCGGAAUUGAAUAUUAGCUUUCUGAAGUAUACCUUUUAAGAAGAGAGAUGAACCAUUCGACAUAAGUUCUUAUGUAUGUAAAUUCUAUCUUCAUUUAUUAAUGCUCAAUACUUCAAACUAUUUGUUUCCUUAUUGUAAGAAUAUUUUUAACAUUGUAACUUUUAACAUUAUUGUAAGAAUAUUUUGAAUUA